rnacentral:tRNA from 1 species
GAGGGUAUAGCUCAGUGGUGGAGCGUGUGCUUAGCAUGCACAAGGUCCUGGGUUCAAUCCCCAGUACCUCCA